AACGGCGAGUGAAGCGGCAAGAGCUCAAAUUUGAAAUCUGGCCUCCCUUGGGGGGUUYGAGUUGUAAUUUGUAGAGGAUGCUUCGGGUGUGGCCGCCGUCUAAGUUCCUUGGAACAGGACGUCGUAGAGGGUGAGAAUCCCGUCUUGGGCGGCCGGUCCGCGCCCGUGUGAAGCUCCUUCGACGAGUCGAGUUGUUUGGGAAUGCAGCUCUAAGCGGGUGGUAAAUUUCAUCUAAAGCUAAAUACUGGCCGGAGACCGAUAGCGCACAAGUAGAGUGAUCGAAAGGUUAAAAGCACCUUGAAAAGGGAGUUAAACAGCACGUGAAAUUGUUGAAAGGGAAGCGCUUGCGGCCAGACUCGAGGGGCGGGGUUCAGCGGGUGCGCGUCACCCGUGCACUCCCCGUCCCCCCGGGCCAGCAUCAGUUUCGACGGCCGGUCAAAGGCCCCCGGAAUGUGUCGUCUCUAGGGACGUCUUAUAGCCGGGGGUGCAAUGCGGCCCGCCGGGACUGAGGAACGCGCUCCGGCUCGGAUGCUGGCGUAAUGGCCGUAAGCGGCCCGUCUUGAAACACGGACCAAGGAGUCUAACAUCCACGCGAGUGUUCGGGUGUCAAACCCGUGCGCGCAGUGAAAGCGAACGGAGGUGGGAGCCCUAGGGCGCACCAUCGACCGAUCCUGAAGUCUUCGGAUGGAUUUGAGUAGGAGCGUGGCCGUUGGGACCCGAAAGAUGGUGAACUAUGCCUGAAUAGGGUGAAGCCAGAGGAAACUCUGGUGGAGGCUCGCAGCGGUUCUGACGUGCAAAUCGAUCGUCAAAUUU
rnacentral:rRNA from 1 species